AAGACUAUAGACCUGCGGAGUACCUGCGGAGGGAUCAUUACAUGAUUUGAGGGGGCUCACGUCCCCUCAUCCAACCCACAAACCCCGAGGAACUUUUAUGUCGAGUGGUUCGGCGCUCUCUUUGAGAGCCGCCCCUCAAACGCAUCGCAGGCUUUUCAUGAAGGUCUGAUGUGUCACAUCGUGAGUAUUAAAACUUUCAACAAUGGAUCUCU
rnacentral:misc_RNA from 1 species